CCUCUGUGGCUCUAGAGGCGCACUGCAAGACCGAGGCUAGCUAACGUUUCCUGACCUAGCUAGCUGCUUUGGACAGCCUCGCAGAUUAUUGCCCAGGUGUUACCUUGGCUGACUGCUUCACCUCACCAGUGCCAACCCUGCUGCGAAUGACAACUAAUAUGGUGGUGGGCCCCGCCGAGACAUGUGGCCCACUUCCUGUAUGACUGAAGGAGGCUCAGCGUGAACUACUACAUCUCCACAGCCCAGAAUGCUGCAGCCCUCCACACAGGAACACGGAGCCCUGUGGCCAGUACACAUGCACAUCUCCUGAAGCAUGCGGAAACAUCGUGUUUUAAAUGGAGCAGUUUUUUAAAACCUUUGUUUAACCUUCAGGCACUCACUCUGAGA